rnacentral:rRNA from 1 species
UACAGAGGUCUCAAGCGUUGUUCGGAUUCAUUGGGCGUAAAGGGUGCGUAGGCGGCGCGCUAAGUCAGGUGUGAAAUUUCGGAGCUUAACUCCGAAACUGCAUUUGAUACUGGCGUGCUUGAGGACUGGAGAGGAGACUGGAAUUCAUGGUGUAGCAGUGAAAUGCGUAGAGAUCAUGAGGAAGACCAGUGGCGAAGGCGGGUCUCUGGACAGUUCCUGACGCUGAGGCACGAAGGCCAGGGGAGCAAACGGG